rnacentral:rRNA from 1 species
GAUAAACGCUGGCGGCGUGCAUGAGACAUGCAAGUCAUACGGACGAUCGGGGUUCGCUCUGAUCGUUAGUGGCGGACGGCUGAGUAACGCGUAGGUGACCUGCCCCGAAGUGGGAUAACUGCCCGAAGGGUGGCUAAUACCGCAUGUGGUGGUGCGUUCGAUCGCACCAGUAAAGCCGCAAGGCGCUUCGGGAGGGCCGCGUCCGAUUAGCUCGUUGGUGAGGUAACGGCUCACCAAGGCGACGAUCGGUAGGUGGUCUGAGAGGACGAUCACCCAGACUGGGACUGAGACACGGCCCAGACUCCUACGGGAGGCAGCAGUCGGGAAUUUUGCGCAAUGGACGAAAGUCUGACGCAGCAACGCCGCGUGAGGGAUGAAGGCCUUCGGU